GACGAACGCUGGCGGCGUGCUUAACACAUGCAAGUCGAACGGAAAGGCUCCUGCUUGCAGGGGUACUCGAGUGGCGAACGGGUGAGUAACACGUGGGUGAUCUGCCUUGUACUCUGGGAUAAGCUUGGGAAACUGGGUCUAAUACCGGAUAAUAACUGCCUUUAGUGUGGUGGUUGGAAAGUUUUUUCGGUGCAAGAUGAGCUCGCGGCCUAUCAGCUUGUUGGUGGGGUAAUGGCCUACCAAGGCGUCGACGGGUAGCCGGCCUGAGAGGGUGUACGGCCACAUUGGGACUGAGAUACGGCCCAGACUCCUACGGGAGGCAGCGGUGGGGAAUAUUGCACAAUGGGCGGAAGCCUGAUGCAGCGACGCCGCGUGGGGGAUGACGGCCUUCGGGUUGUAAACUCCUUUCGACAGGGACGAAGCUUUUUGUGACGGUACCUGUAGAAGAAGCACCGGCUAACUACGUG
rnacentral:rRNA from 1 species